rnacentral:lncRNA from 1 species
AAAAUGCAGAUUUUCAGUUCUAAUAUGGCUUGGAUCAAUCAACACUUCAAACAAUAAUAUUAUCAAUUAUGAACAGAUAAUUAACACCAAAUUAAUCUCCACAAAUUCACACCUCAAUUACACAUCGAAUAUUCAUAACAUCAAUUAUGAACACAUAAGUACAUCAAAACUUAAUCAACCCAACUGCACACCUCUAAGCAAUUACGACAAAUCAAAACAACAACCGAAUAUGUAUAUACAAUCAUCAUAGUAUAACAAACACGACUCGCGUGUCAAGCACCCUAAUGCAAUGCGUAUAUGCCAAAAUGCAUGAAUCGAGAAUUCCAAACCAAAACCCUCCUCGAAGGGCGCAAAUCAUAAUUGUACAGCCUCUCACAGACCAAUACUAAUUACCAAGGUGCAAUCUCUCACGGAUCAACACGAUUUACUAGCGUGCAGUCUCUCACAGACCAGCACGACAAACAAGAGUGCAAUCGCUCACAUACCAGCACAUUCUAGGAGUGCAAUCUCUCACAGAUCAGCACGACGCGACAAUCCCCG